rnacentral:rRNA from 1 species
GACGUGAGCAACCUGCCUAUGACAGUGUGGAUAGCCUCGGGAAACCGGGAUUAAUACCGCAUAAAAUCGUAGAAACACAUGUUUUAACGGUCAAAGAUUUAUCGGUCAUAGAUGGGCUCGCGUCUGAUUAGCUAGUUGGUGAGAUAACAGCCCACCAAGGCGACGAUCAGUAGCCGGUCUGAGAGGAUGAACGGCCACAUUGGAACUGAGACACGGUCCAA